AUUCGCUGGUGGUCACCCACCCAACUACUAACCUCCCGGCGUGUGGCUUAAGUACGGCUGAGCGGACGGGAAGCCCUGUUCUCCACACCCUAUGGUCGUAUGUACUGGUUUCUUAAUUAUGCAACAUUAUAUAGGCUUAUUGUUCCAGCUGAGUAAUAAGUACAGAAUCUGUUGAGAGGAUCGGGAGCCUACUAUGACCGGUCUUACGGACAACUUGCGAAUUGCUGUAGUGUCUAGCCAAGCGCAUGUUAAUGAAGCAGUGCUUGGAUUCAAAUAAUGCUUGCUUCGCUUCGCUCCGCUGCGCAAUGAGACCGGCACGGGUAUGGGUUCGAUGAAAGUGAGGCCUAUCGAUCAUUUAGUCCCUCGGAAUUUGAGGCUAGAGGUGCCAGAAAAUUCACCACAGAGAUAAAUGGCUUGUAGCAGCUAAGCGUUCCUAGUGAUGUUGCUUUUUGAUCCUUCGAUGUCGGCUCUUCCUAUCAUACCGAUCGCCACAUUGGAUCCGUAACUUCGGGAUAAGGAUCGCCUCUAAGGACCGAGUUCGAUGGACCUUGUGGAUGCCCUAGAAGCAUUAC
rnacentral:ncRNA from 1 species